GACGAACCGUGCGAACGUUGUUCGGAUUCACUGGGCUUAAAGGGCGCGUAGGCGGACGGUCAAGUCAGGGGUGAAAUCUUUCAGCUCAACUGGAAAAGUGCCUCUGAUACUGAUCGUCUCGAGGGAGGUAGGGGCAGAGGGAAUUUCCGGUGGAGCGGUGAAAUGCGUAGAGAUCGGAAAGAACACCAACGGCGAAAGCACUCUGCUGGGCCGACACUGACACUGAGAGACGAAAGCUAGGGGAGCGAAUGGG
rnacentral:rRNA from 1 species